rfam:Triticum aestivum genome assembly, contig: Triticum_aestivum_CS42_TGACv1_scaffold_471693_6AL
CAACUACUCCCUCUGUCCCAAAUUUCUUGUCUUAGAUUUGUCUAGAUACGGAUGUAUCUAAUACUAAAAUGUGACCGUAUCUAGACAAAUCUAAGACAAGAAUUUUGGGACGGAGGGAGUACUUU